AACUUUUGGCAACGGAUCACUUGGCUCUCGCAUCGAUGAAGAACGCAGCGAAAUGCGAUACGUAAUGUGAAUUGCAGAAUUCAGUGAAUCAUCGAUUCUUUGAACGCACCUUGCGCCCCUUGGUAUUCCGAGUGGCACACCCGUUUGAGUGUCGUGAAAAUCUCAACCUUCUCGGUUUCUUCUGGACACCGAAGGAGGCUUGGAAUUUGGAGGCCUUUGCUGGCGUCUCUCGCCAGCUCAUAUCAAAUGUAUUAGUGGGGUCCUCUUUGCCGAUCCUCGACAUGUGAUAAGAUGUUUCCAUGUCUUGGUUCAUGGCUCUGUUGAUUUUGGGACCCGCUUCUAACCGUCUCAACGAGACAACGUUCGAGCGUGUCGAACACUCUUGAACCCACGAACCCUUGACCUCAAAUCGGGUGAGACUACCCGCUGAACUUAAGCAUAUCAAUAAGCGGAGGCU
rnacentral:misc_RNA from 1 species